UAUAGAAAUCGAUAGCCUUCGAGUGUUUAUAGAUGAGUCUGUCCAGACUGUUUUGCAAAUAAUAAAUAGUAGAAAUGUGCAAAAUGAUGCAAAGUUUGCUAGCAGUUCAACAAAAAACAAUGACCAACAAAAUGACUUCAACAAUGAGCAUUUUCAGUUCAAUAUUAGGGAACAAGUGCAAGCCAGCACCACUAAAACAGAACAUGUUGAAGGUGCAAUUGGUCAAGAAAAUCUUCCAUCACAUGGUGAUUUACAUACACAUUUUCAAGUUGCAGCUGAUGAAGACAAAGCAGUCCCCAAUUCACGGAGUGACAGUAGCAGCUCAGACCGAGCAUGUCAUCGAGGAAGAUGACAAUGAAGGUGCAGAUGCAGAGUAUGUGGAUCUAGGUGAUUCAGAAGGAUCAGGAGUUGAGAAGAAUGGGGUCACACUAGAUGAUUUUGAGUUUCCUGACAACUUAUCCCAGUUGGUUAUGUUUGGCGAGCCCAUACAAGAUGAUGCAACACCUAUGCAUCCGGGGAGAACAAGGCAUUCGGGAAAGCAUGCCCGAUCACCAUUUAUCCCUCUAUACAGUUCUGGGAGCAGCAGCUCGGUUGGACCUAAAAUUUUCUACCUAAAGCACCCUUUUACUACUGUUAUUGGUGAAAAUGUAGAUCCGGAUAUUUUAGAGAACUUCAGCAAGUGGUUAUACCACUUUAUUGACAAAGGUUCAAAGAGGAGGAAGGCUCCGUUUUCCAUAAAGGAUAACCAAAUUAAGCCUUGGUUAGACCUUGGAGUGGAAAAGGUUGAUAAGAAGGAAUGGUUCUAUUCCCUGGCUCACCCCGAUCAAGUCCUCAAUGACUCGCACAUUAAUGUUUUAAUGUAUUACUUGAGGAAAAGAGGCAAGUAUGGCCCCAAAAACAGUACCAGGUUUACCACAACGGAUUAUGUGUUCAAGACCAGGAUAAAACAAAUUUAUGAAAAGUUCAUAAAUUCACCUCCAGAAAAGAUGUAUUUUGUUGUUAAACCCCAAGAUGUUGUUGCAGAAUAUAUUUGGGGUAUAGACUACUUGCCAAUGUUGCAUGGGAUGAAGUUGACUAUGUGAUCAUGCCCGUCAAUAUUGUAGAAAAAUUCCAUUGGGUGUUGGUUGUUUUCGACAUUGCAAACAGGCAACUUUAUGCGUAUGAUUCCAUGGUCUCUUCACACAACCAUCAAGUUGUUGAAUCCCGUGUCGAUAAGUUUUAUGUUAUUAUCCCUUUGUAUUUGUCAUGCACUGGUUUCUAUGGGAAGCGUAAAGACAUUAACUUCAAGACAACAAAGGCAUACAUCGAAAAAUCAGUUACCGACCCUCUUAACAUUCAGUGGCUCGUUGGAGAGAUUCCACAGCAAAAAGAAGGAUCACUCGAUUGUGGUGUAUUUGUUGCUGCCUUUGCGGAGUAUGUUAGCCUUGGAGAUUUGUCGAUUCCCGCAGAAGACCUUUCUGAUAUUGACCAACAUCGUAGAAGCUAUGGAGCGCUCCUAUGGGAUUAUGCUACAAAAAAGCAAGAAGAUGGGUCAAUCAGUGAAAGUGAGGUUACAGGCAGACUAGCAAGGAGGAAGUGUCACGACCCAAAAUCCACUAAGGGUCGUGAUGGCGCUGGACACUA